UGAUGUCCGUCUUUUGAUCUUUUCGGUGUUUCGCCAUUGUCCAUUUUUCUGAAGCGUGUCUGGCGUGCGUGAUUUCUUAUCUUAUGCCGAAAAGUUGGUUUUAGCCCUGGACUUUUCUCCAAUUAGGCACCUACAUGGUGUAUAGUUUCAGUCUUUCACAUUUUUAUUUCCGUAUCGAGAGUUCUCUCAGUUCUCUGUCUCAAGAAUUUGCUGAGAACUUAUCCUCUCCGUGUGUUGUGCACUCCUUAUAGAUCUUUUGUCAAAUCUAUAUUUUAAUCUUUUACUGUUUAAUAUGUGCCAAGUAAUCGGUGACUUUAAGUGCAAGUAAGUGCUCCCUUACUUUGACCGCUACCUUAAUGAUCACAUACUGAACUAGCAUCAUGCAAUAUUAUUACCAGCACAACGCUCAGAAGCUUGCUAGAGCUUUAAGACAAUACAAGAUCGAUAAACCAAAAUGGAUUGAUAAAGAUCAAGCCAAAAAUUUACCUGAGGCCUACAGAAAGUUUUGGUUCGAAUGGAACAGUGAACCAAGCCCUGUACACUUUGUGAAAGAUGACCGAACAUGGUACCGUGACGAAGAAACUGGGCAGGUGAAAAGAUUCAGCAACUGGCCCAUUUUUGGACUGAGACCUCGUGAAGCAGAUCAAGGUCUCUGGGGUAAUGAAACAAUCGUUAAAGGAUUCCAGAAAAGGCAAGAAUUAAGGAAACGAGUGCCGCAUUUUUGGGUUCCUACCUUGGUGGAGACCAUUUUUUACAGUGAAAUUCUGAACAAACACAUGUCAACAAUUGCAACCAAAAGGGCCAGGGUUUUAGUUAUCGAAAACUUUGGCCUUGAUCAUUAUUUGCUGAAGACGCCUGCUAAUGACCUACGUUCCAAACUGGCUGUGCUCCUGAAGAGGAAAAUGUUAAUCGCCUUACGAGACAAAACAUUGUACCCCGACGACCCAGAAAAGCAAGCUGAAGUAUACAACAAGUAUAAACAUUAUCUUGAUGCAUACACACAUGAGGAGAUUGAGUGGUAUGGGCUAAGUCCAUUUGAAGCAUUAAAAAAAUAUAAUGAACUGCAGAGAGUGGCCAAUGCACCAAAACCACUGAAGCUUUUAUAUCGCCAAGAAUUGUUAGAGGAGCUGAAAAAUCCACCUUCAGCAGAUGCAGUUUCCGAAACAGGAACUCCUUCAACAUGGAUCAAGAAGCUCAAUCCAUUUGCAUCUAAAGAAACAUAGUUAGCUCAGUUUUGAAUAAGGAUGUUAAACAAUUCGGAAAACAAUUCAUGUUUGAUAAUAAUGAAGAAACCUGCUGGAACUCCGAUCAGGGUUUACCACAAUGGAUACAGCUUGACUUUGAAAAGGAAGAAACAGUUACCCAUCUUCAAAUUCAAUUUCAAGGUGGAUUUGUUGGAAAUGAAUGCAAUUUUGAGCUCAGUUCAGGACAAGUUGUGUCA